UCUAAACUUCUAUCAAAUCAAUUUUCUCUGAGGCAAAUUAACAUUUUAGGUUUUUGCAAAAGUGAAAAAAUAUAUGAAUGACUUUCAGACUGAGCUUUCUGACUCCACUUCCUGCUAACUAGUAGAGCUUGUAGUGAAUCUAUAUUUGUUACGGAUGUCUUUUUUCUCUUUAUUGCAUUACCUUUGAUUUCCCUUUGAUUUUGAUGAUAACAAUAGGUGAUGCUAUCAUAAAGAAGACUUGUGAAACCACUUGCACCAGUGCCAUGAAUUGUGAAACUUUUGCUGCAAACCUCUGCAAAGACGAGGCCCUGAAAGACCAUGUAGGAUCAAAUUGUGUCAACGUCAUCUGCCCUAAACCUGAUCCUUCAUCCACCUUUACUUGUGCCUCUAUCACUUCAAGCGUUUGCAGUACCCUGGGUGA